AAGCAGGCGCACUGCCUCUGGCCUGGAAGGAAGGGCCUUUGGAAGACUCAAAGAAUGAAAGUCUCCUGGGGUGAAAAGCAAGCGCCCCCCUGAUGCCGGAGGCUGUUUGGUUUGCCUGCUGACAGCAACAAGUACCAGGAAGCCUCCACUCAGCGCUGCGCAGCACGCUGCUCGCUGCUCGCAGGAAUUCCUUUCCUGGAACGGAGAAUAAAGCAUCGGAAUGGAGAUUAGUUUUUACACAGCGCCUAGCCCCUGUGCCAUGGAGAAACUCACCCUUCUUUUCCUCCUUCUACACUUUUCUCUCUGUUCCUGUCAUUAGGGCCCUCACAGGGGAGUGAAGGUGGCAAUGCAAAGCAGUAGAUGGCAGCUGUGGGACACUCGAAAUAACUGCGCCUCUACAUAUUUUUACUCUAAACUUGUUGAACAUAGCAAAUUACAGCUCUGUAAAUAAAAUAACACUCAGAGAUAAUGUUCAGCUGUGUGAAAUCACCAGCUAACCAGAGCGAGUGGAUGCUUAAGUGUCAGGUGUAAUAGUCUUGAUGUCUGUUUUCCAGUUUUUAACUUCUUGGUUCUUUGGACAAAGAAACACAUUUUCAGUUAAA
ensembl:antisense Ube2uos ubiquitin-conjugating enzyme E2U (putative), opposite strand